UCAGAGGUUCCUGCAACUUAUUCUUUUUCCAAUGCCCCUUGGCAGUCAUCAUUCCACCUGACCAUUUGAUUUCCCUUUUUUUUUUUUUGGUUCAGGCAUUUCUUGCACUGUUCUUUCUUUUCUUUUUUCCUUUCGCUUUUUUUUUCUGUUGUUUUUUUUUUCCAGGAUCGACCUCGAUUCCUCUUAUUUUCUCACAACAAGCCUCGGUAGCUUGACGGACAGCACUCCACAAGUGCGCUCAUUCGGACUCAACAGUAUGAGUUAUCUCCACCUGUCAAACAACUUGAUCAAGUCCACCGGAUGCCCCUUUCUUGCUUGGG
rnacentral:lncRNA from 1 species